rnacentral:ncRNA from 1 species
AUAAAGUUUGAUUUUGGCUUAUAAAUUUGUUAUUAAUUUGUUUUAUAUGUAAAUUUUUGUGUGAAUUAUUAUUUAUUUUAAUAGUAAAUAAUUUUCUUAUAGUCGCAGUAAUUAAUAUUAUUGAUUAAGGAAACUUAGAAAUAGAAAUAUUAAUUAGUAUUGGCUAAAUUUGUGCCAGCAGCCGCGGUUACACUAGUGAUACAAAUAAAUUUUAUCAGUAAAAGUUAAUUUAUAAAUUAUUAAAAUAAAAUAAAAUUUAUUAGGUGAAAUUUUAAAUUUUUAUAUUUUUAUUAAUCAUAAUAAUUGAAGCUUAGAAAUUUUAGUAAUAAACUAGGAUUAGAUACCCUAUUAUUUAAAAAACAAUUUAAUUACUUAAGUAGUAUUAGUUAUGUUCUUGAAACUUAAAAAAUUUGGCGGUAUUUUAGUCUAUUCAGAGGAACCUGUUCUGUAAUCGAUAAUCCACGAUGGACCUUACUUAAAUUUGUUUUUCAGUUUAUAUACCGUCGUUAUUAGAAUAUUUUAUAAGAAUAAUAAUUUUCUAGAAUUUUUAUUAAAUUAUAUAUCAGAUCAAGGUGUAGCUUAUAUUUAAGUAGAAAUGGGUUACAAUAAAAUUAUUUAUAUGGAAGUAAAUAUGAAAAAUUUAUGAAAAGUGGAUUUGAUAGUAAAAUUAUAAAGAUUAUUAAUUUGAUUUUAGCUCUAAAAUAUGUACACAUCGCCCGUCACUCUUAUUAUUAAGGUAAGAUAAGUCGUAACAUAGUAGAGGUACCGGAAGGUGUCUCUAGAAUGAC